rnacentral:rRNA from 1 species
AUUACUAAGCGGAGGAAAAGAAACUAACAAGGAUUCCCUCAGUAACGGCGAGUGAAGCGGGAAUAGCCCAGCACCGAAUCCCCUGCCGUUCGGCAGCGGGAACUGUGGUGUUCGGGACGACCUUCGUUCGUCGGUCGAGCGCCCGAGUCCUCCUGAUCGGGGCCCUACCCAGAGCGGGUGUAAGGCCUCUACGGCGCGUGACCGGCGAGCCCGGGGAGUCCUCGGAGUCGGGUUGUUUGAGAUUGCAGCCCAAAGCGGGUGGUAAACUCCAUCUAAGGCUAAAUACUGGCACGAGUCCGAUAGCGAACAAGUACCGUGAGGGAAAGUU